UUGGAACUGAGACACGGUCCAAACUCCUACGGGAGGCAGCAGUGAGGAAUAUUGGUCAAUGGGCGAUGGCCUGAACCAGCCAAGUAGCGUGAAGGAUGACUGCCCUAUGGGUUGUAAACUUCUUUUAUAAAGGAAUAAAGUCGGGUAUGCAUACCCGUUUGCAUGUACUCUAUGAAUAAGGAUCGGCUAACUCCGUGCCAGCAGCCGCGGUAAUACGGAGGAUCCGAGCGUUAUCCGGAUUUAUUGGGUUUAAAGGGAGCGUAGAUGGAUGUUUAAGUCAGUUGUGAAAGUUUGCGGCUCAACCGUAAAAUUGCAGUUGGUACUGGAUGUCUUGAGUGCAGUUGAGGCAGGCGGAAUUCGUGGUGUAGCGGUGAAAUGCUUAGAUAUCACGAAGAACUCCGAUUGCGAAGGCAGCCUGCUAAGCUGCAACUGACAUUGAGGCUCGAAAGUGUGGGUAUCAAACAGGAUUAGAUACCCUGGUAGUCCACACGGUAAACGAUGAAUACUCGCUGUUUGCGAUAUACGGCAAGCGGCC
rnacentral:rRNA from 1 species